UACGUAGGGUGCAGGCGUUAAUCGGAAUUACUGGGCGUAAAGCGUGCGCAGGCGGCCUCUUAAGUCAGAUGUGAAAUCCCCGGGCUUAACCUGGGAAUGGCAUUUGGGACUGCAAGGCUUGAGUGCGGCAGAGGAGACUGGAAUUCCCGGUGUAGCAGUGAAAUGCGUAGAUAUCGGGAGGAAUACCGAUGGCGAAGGCGGCCUUCUGGGUCCGCCCUGACGCUGAGGCGCGAAAGCGUGGGGAGCGAACGGG
rnacentral:rRNA from 1 species